rnacentral:rRNA from 1 species
AUGGAUGAGCUGUGGAAGGACAUGUCGCUGUGCUCCACCCCGCUCGCGCUACAGUCGUACCGCCUCCACUCGCCGGCCGUCCAUCCCUACCGCGGCGCCGUGUACCUGCAGGACUGCCUCGCCGGCGCCAACUCGGUGCCGCAGCCGCCCCGCACGCCACCGCCCCCGCCUCCUCACACGGCGCUGAGCCUCGAGUUCACAUACCUCGGGGGCGCCACCUCGGCCGCCAACAACAGUAGCAGGAGAUCAGCCGUCCUGCAGCCGGCCGCGGUGGGUGGCGACCGGCGGCAGCGUCGGAUGAUCAAGAACCGGGAGUCGGCGGCGCGGUCGCGGGCGCGGAAGCAGGCCUACACCAACGAGCUGGAGCUGGAGCUGGAGCAGCUGCGUAGGGAGAACAAAAUGCUUAUCCAGCGCGAGAAGGACUUCAUCAACGAUCGUCAGGCCAAGGCGGCGCAGUUAGCCGUCCCCGACUGCCGGAGCGGUAGGAGCACUGCUAGUAGCCUGCAGCUGAAGCAGCAGCAACAGAGGUGCCGCUCGGCUCCUCCACCAUGA